ensembl:lncRNA
GAUUCUCGCAUGAUCUUUACAUGACGUUAUGUGUUGCGUCACACUACUGUCAUACGUCAUCAGAGUGCGACGGGCGCACUUUUUAAACCGCCUUCCGUGAAUAAACUUUUCAAACGACAAUUCUAAUCAAAAGUGUCGUUCUGACAACAACAACGUUUUUUUUUCCCGGCAGCCUGUGCUGUUUAAAAUGGAUAAAGUCACAGACACAUCACAUACUUGUAUCAAAGACGGCCCAUCAGUUUUGUCGUGCUUCUGGAGCACGGCACAUGCAUCACAGGCCUCCGAGAGGACUUCAGCAGUGACUGCUGCAAAGUCCGCUGAAACAACAGCCACCAUCUCCAGCUCAGGCUCUUGAUGGUCCUCGUAAUCUGACGCAUAUGUUGUGAGUGACGACUGUUGGCAAGGGAGGAUCGAACAAGGCAAGAGCAGGACUUGUAGCUAUGAUGUCUUUAACCUCCUCGGUCCAAUGGAAAUCAGUAGACUUUCGAAGUAGAGCACGAAGAGGUUCCAUAAGUGUGGCGUAGUUAGGAAUGAACUUUGAAUACCACGCAGUCAGGCCAAGAAAAGAACGUAGCGACUGAGCAUCAUGAGGAGGGGGAGCUUGAGUCACAGCUUGGACAAGGCCAGGGUCUGGCUGUAGGCCAGAGGCAGAAACGAGAUGCCCAAGGAAAGGACAACUCAGUCUUCCAGAAGUGGCAUUUCGCUGUGUUGAGCUUCAACCCACUCACUGGUAGGCAGUGGAGGACGCUUUCAAUCUUGUCUCAUGAAGUGCAGGGGUCUCUCUCUGUAUACUAUGAUGUCAUCCAACUAGCGUUGCACACCUGGUUGAUCUGCCAGGAUCUGGGACAUCAUCCGUUGAAAGGCACUGGGGGCUGAAGCAAGGCCAUAUGGGACUCUAGUGAAACGAAAAAGUCUGUCAUGCGUUAUGAAUGCGGUAAGGUCUCUGCUGCUAGGAUGUAGCUGGACUUGAUGCUAGGCAUUUUGUACAUCAAUUGUGGAGAACAUAGUUGCACCACGGAGCUCACGAAAGACUUCUUCGAUGUGUGGCAAAGGGUGACUGUCUGUCACCACUGCUCUGUUUGGCUCACGUAGAUCCACACAAAGACGAAUGCCGCCGGUCUUCUUCUUUAAGACCACCACAGGAAACACCCUUGCAGACGAGUCCACUCUCUCUAUGAUACCUUCGAAAGAAAUUAACAUAUCAUCAAGAAGUGUCGUGGAAAUGUGUUCAAUAUUGAUUGGCUUCAAUGUGUUCUUCUCAUGUGUUGUUCAAUAUUGAUUGUAUGAGAUGAUUGACUACCAAAUGUUGUUGCAUUGACGAAGGGUUAUCGAGCGACGGCAGUGAUGACGAGCCACUGGUGAAGAUCGCCUCCAAGAGUCCUCAGGUGACCAUGCUUCUGAAGGUGAUGGUGGAGCGGUGUCCGGUUAAGGAGUUUGGGAACAGGUGAUGGUGGAGCGGUGUCCGGUUAAGGAGUUUGGGAACAGGUGUAAAGGCACAGAUGUUUCUUUUUUUUCCCACACAGAAAUAACUAGGACUGGUUCGUAGGGCCCGCUUAGCCUGGGUAUACCCAUGCUGCCUUGUGCGCAAUUUCAUUUUGCGCUGCCGGCUGAAGCAGAAAGGACAGCUUUGAAAGAAUGCGGAAGCCUUCUACACUGGAGCAGUUCAUGUUGCAUUUUGGAAAUGUCUAGAUAGUUAGUCAUAGAAAAUGUUUAAAUGUUUUUUAAAAUUCAAAAGGUUUUAAUGAUCAUUUCAAUAUUUUAUUGUAGUGGAACAUUUUUAUUAGAUUAUUUUCUGUACCUUUUUAUUUAGAUUUUAUUUAGAUCAUUUUAUAUAUUGUCCAUAGUAUGUCACUGAAGUUCAACUGAAGUUCAAGUUCAAAUGUUUUGAAAAGAAAAAUGAAGUGGAAAAUGAUUUUGUCAUUCAAAAGUAUUAAAUCGACUUUCAUACAUGAUCAUUCAUGAUUCGUUUCCUGCAGCCUUCCAUUCAAAUAUAACAUGAUAUGUCACGAAGGCAUCCAACCAAGGUGAACGAAAAAGAAAAUACAAAUUU